GACGAACGCUGGCGGCGCGCCUAACACAUGCAAGUCGAACGAGCGCGUCAGAGCUUGCUUUCUCGAGCGAGUUGCGGACGGGUGAGUAACCCGUGUGGAAGCUGCCGCAAAGGGGGGGACAACAGAUUGAAACGAACGCUAAUACCGCAUAAGCCCACGACGCGGCAGCGGGGCGAGGGAAAAGGAGCUAUCCGGUUUGAGAUGGCCCCGCGUCCGAUUAGGUAGUUGGUGAGGUAACGGCCCACCAAGGCGACGAUCGGUAGCUGGACUGAGAGGUUGAACGGCCACAUUGGGACUGAGACACGGCCCAGACUCCUACGGGAGGCAGCAGUGGGGAAUCUUGCACAAUGGGGGCAACCCUGAUGCAGCCACGCCGCGUGAAGGAAGAAGGUCUUAGGAUUGUAAACUCCUGUUGUUGAGGAAGAUAAUGACGGUACUAAACAAGGAAGUGACGGCUAACUACGUG
rnacentral:rRNA from 1 species